CAGACUUAGAAGCCAGAAGACAUUUUGCAUCUGGACGAAGGAUCACACAAGACCCCCUCUGGUCUGAUCAAGCUGUGAACAGGGGGUAUGCGUAAUCUGAAGCCCCUCCCACCCCAGGCCUCCGAGUGCCAGUAUGAACUCAGUUUCGACUGGAAGCUCUUGUGAAUGGACUUUGACCAGAAAAAUUACGGAAAACAUAUGAGGUCUUGAUGCUGCAUGGCCGAAUGGAGGAGGGAAAUCAAUGAUCUAAUCAUCCACAAGUGAGGAAAUGUGUGUGUAUAUAGGGUGGAGUUGUUGGAGAAGGAAAAGACAGAAGUAGAAGAAAGGAGCUGGUUACCUGAGAUAAGAGAGACGCCGUCGCUGUGUUUUUGGCCCGGGUCGAUCGCUAUGAGUUGCCGGGACGAUCGAUUGAGUGUUGCGUGCUGACGAGAGCGAGCAAGUUCACCAGGUGAAUUCCUGUUUUACAGCAUUUAAACCUCUUUCCUUAACAACUUUCCUCCCUGCCAUUAUUGCCCAGCGCUCAACUCGCAUACACACACACACACACACACACACACACACACACACACACACACACCAUUUUUGCCACACACAAACCUCCACAAACAUUCAGGCACCCACUUUCAUGAAGCACUUUGUGAUCGUGCUGUUUGGUGUGAUUCAAUGCACAAUAAUAAUUAUUUAAUAAUGUGUAAAGUGUGAUCAGAAUUCACUAUUUAAUGUUCUCUUUUUGUCUGUUCUAUUUUUGUCUUUCCAUCUCAUUACUACUCUCGCCGUAUUGGUGAGUGUUGAGUCUGCCGAGGUUUUCAAUCCUCCGAGAUACUUCUACCUUCGAGGCACCAACUUUCACUCACUUUAAGGUUGUUUUUUUUAUAUUGUUGGACAACAAAAACGGUGGAACGACUGUAAUUGAACUUUUUUUUUGAUUUUUCUUGUUUAUUGGUGAAAAUAUAUCUGUGAAAUUGAUUUUGUACUUGAGCCAAAGAGAUCGUUUCUAUGUUUUUUGUAUGAUUCCUUAUUGAUUGCUGAAUAUAACUGAGAAACUGAACUUUGUGUGUAAAUCUUAUUCAUGUUUUGUAACCGGUGGCUUAACGAGCUAUUCUGGGUGAAAACAGUAUUAUUUUGACAAGAUUGACCUUGUCUGGUGCCCGAACUAAGUAAAUCAGUUUGUUAAUUUGUUUAUUAAUUUAGAAUCUUUUUAAUGUGUUGGUUUAAAUUCUCUUUGGGGCCACCACUAUUACAUCGUGUUUUAGUAAUAUAACACAAAACUUUACUUUUUGUUAAAAAAUGGAAUGCUAAACUUUUAUUUUUGUUAAGCCAUUUGUUCAUUACCUUUAAAGUGACAAUGUUAGUGAUAUGUUGGACAACCUAAUGUUUAAAAACACAAUCUUUUUUUUUGUUAAAUAUAAAAAUGUAAGACUAUAUUUUAUUUUUGUUAAGCCAUUUGUUCAUAUUUAAAUUGGAUGUGUGUUUUGCUGCAUAACAAUAGUCUUUGUUUUAGAAACACAUUUUAUCUCAUAGUUAAAAUAUAACAAACUUUUUUUAUUAAAGCUAAUUCUAAUAUAGCAUAAAAUGUAUUAUUGUGUUUUAGCAACAUAACCCUGUUUGUUAAACUAAUGUCAAACAUUAUGUUUGUUAAACCAUUUAUUCAUCAUUUUAAAAUGAACAUCUGAAUGAUUUUGCUUCAGUAAAUAUCCACUGUUUUAGAAACACAUUUUCACCACUUUGUUAAAAGUAUGCCAAGCAUUAUUUUGACACCUCAGUUUUGUCACCAAAGCAUUGCAACCCAUUAAAGACACAUAAUUUAAACACAUUUUAAAUGUAAUACUACUUUUUAUGUCUUACAAUAAUAAAAAAAUAUCCCCACACUCAUAACUUCAUCAAUUAAUUGUUUAAUCAAUCACAAUUUUUUUUUUGUUUGAGUUGAGAGAAAACAAGUCCUAUACCAUGCAUUAU